GAUGAACGCUAGCGGCAGGCUUAAUACAUGCAAGUCGAGGGGCAGCACGAAUAGCAAUAUUUGGUGGCGACCGGCAAACGGGUGCGGAACACGUACGCAACCUUCCUUUAAGUGGGGAAUAGCCCGGGGAAACCCGGAUUAAUACCCCGUAAUAUUAUGAUGUGGCAUCACUUUAUAAUUAUAGAUUCAUCGCUUAAAGAUGGGCGUGCGCCUGAUUAGGUAGUUGGCGGGGUAACGGCCCACCAAGCCUGCGAUCAGUAACUGGUGUGAGAGCACGACCAGUCACACGGGCACUGAGACACGGGCCCGACUCCUACGGGAGGCAGCAGUAAGGAAUAUUGGUCAAUGGACGCAAGUCUGAACCAGCCAUGCCGCGUGGA
rnacentral:rRNA from 1 species